rnacentral:rRNA from 1 species
AGAUUGAACGCUGGCGGCAUGCUUUACACAUGCAAGUCGAACGGUAACGCGGGGGCAACCCUGGCGACGAGUGGCGAACGGGUGAGUAAUACAUCGGAACGUGCCCAGUAGUGGGGGAUAGCUCGGCGAAAGCCGGAUUAAUACCGCAUAACCUCGAAAGAGCAAAGUGGGGGAUCGCAAGACCUCACGCUUUUGGAGAAGCCUACGUCGGAUUAGCUAGUUGGUGAGGUAAUGGCUCACCAAGGCGACGAUCCGUAACUGGUCUGAGAGGAUGAUCGGUCACACCGGAACUGAGACACGGUCCGGACUCCGUACGGGAGCAGCAGGUGGGAAUAUU